rnacentral:rRNA from 1 species
GACGAACGCUGGCGGCGUGCUUAACACAUGCAAGUCGAACGGAAAGGCCCUGCUUUUGUGGGGUGCUCGAGUGGCGAACGGGUGAGUAACACGUGAGUAACCUGCCCUUGACUUUGGGAUAACUUCAGGAAACUGGGGCUAAUACCGGAUAGGAGCUCCUGCUGCAUGGUGGGGGUUGGAAAGUUUCGGCGGUUGGGGAUGGACUCGCGGCUUAUCAGCUUGUUGGUGGGGUAGUGGCUUACCAAGGCUUUGACGGGUAGCCGGCCUGAGAGGGUGACCGGCCACAUUGGGACUCAGAUACGGCCCAGACUCCUAAGGGAGGCAGCAGUGGGGAAUAUUGCACAAUGGGCGGAAGCCUGAUGCAGCAACGCCGCGUGCGGGAUGACGGCCUUCGGGUUGUAAACCGCUUUCGCCUGUGACGAAGCGUGAGUGACGGUAAUGGGUAAAGAAGCACCGGCUAACUACGUG